rnacentral:rRNA from 1 species
GGGAGCAAACAGGAUUAGAUACCUGGUAGUCCACGCCGUAAACGAUGAGUGCUAAGUGUUGGAGGGUUCCGCCUUUCAGUGCUGCAGCUAACGCAUUAAGCACUCCGCCUGGGGAGUACGACCGCAAGGUUGAAACUCAAAGGAAUUGACGGGGGCCCGCACAAGCGGUGGAGCAUGUGGUUUAAUUCGAAGCAACGCGAAGAACCUUACCAGGUCUUGACAUCCUUUGACCACUCUAGAGAUAGAGCUUUCCCUUCGGGGACAAAGUGACAGGUGGUGCAUGGUUGUCGUCAGCUCGUGUCGUGAGAUGUUGGGUUAAGUCCCGCAACGAGCGCAACCCUUAUUGUUAGUUGCCAUCAUUCAGUUGGGCACUCUAGCGAGACUGCCGGUGACAAACCGGAGGAAGGUGGGGAUGACGUCAAAUCAUCAUGCCCCUUAUGACCUGGGCUACACACGUGCUACAAUGGGAAGUACAACGAGUCGCUAGGCCGCGAGGUCAUGCAAAUCUCUUAAAGCUUCUCUCAGUUCGGAUUGCAGGCUGCAACUCGCCUGCAUGAAGCCGGAAUCGCUAGUAAUCGCGGAUCAGCACGCCGCGGUGAAUACGUUCCCGGGCCUUGUACACACCGCCCGUCACACCACGAAAGUUUGUAACACCCGAAGUCGGUGAGGUAACCUUUUGGAGCCAGCCGCCUAAGGUGGGAUAGAUGAUUGGGGUGAAGUCGUAACAAGGUAACCAAGGGCGAAUUCUG